AGCCGAACUGAGAGGUUGAUCGGCCACAUUGGGACUGAGACACGGCCCAAACUCCUACGGGAGGCAGCAGUAGGGAAUCUUCCACAAUGGACGAAAGUCUGAUGGAGCAACGCCGCGUGAAUGAAGAAGGCCUUCGGGUCGUAAAAUUCUGUUGUCAGAGAAGAAUGUGCGUGAGAGUAACUGUUCACGUAUUGACGGUAUCUGGCCAGAAAGCCACGGCUAACUACGUGCCAGCAGCCGCGGUAAUACGUAGGUGGCAAGCGUUGUCCGGAUUUAUUGGGCGUAAAGGGAACGCAGGCGGUCUUUUAAGUCUGAUGUGAAAGCCUUCGGCUUAACCGAAGUAGUGCAUUGGAAACUGGAAGACUUGAGUGCAGAAGAGGAGAGUGGAACUCCAUGUGUAGCGGUGAAAUGCGUAGAUAUAUGGAAGAACACCAGUGGCGAAAGCGGCUCUCUGGUCUGUAACUGACGCUGAGGUUCGAAAGCGUGGGUAGCAAACAGGAUUAGAUACCCUGGUAGUCCACGCCGUAAACGAUGAGUGCUAAGUGUUGGAGGGUUUCCGCCCUUCAGUGCUGCAGCUAACGCAUUAAGCACUCCGCCUGGGGAGUACGGUCGCAAGACUGAAACUCAAAGGAAUUGACGGGGGCCUGCACAAGCGGUGGAGCAUGUGGUUUAAUUCGAAGCAACGCGAAGAACCUUACCAGGUCUUGACAUCUUCUGACAAUUCCAGAGAUGGAACGUUCCCUUCGGGGACAGAAUGACAGGUGGUGCAUGGUUGUCGUCAGCUCGUGUCGUGAGAUGUUGGGUUAAGUCCCGCAACGAGCGCAACCCUUAUUGUCAGUUGCCAUCAUUAAGUUGGGCACUCUGGCGAGACUGCCGGUGACAAACCGGAGGAAGGUGGGGAUGACGUCAAAUCAUCAUGCCCCUUAUGACCUGGGCUACACACGUGCUACAAUGGACGGUACAACGAGUCGCUAACUCGCGAGGGCAAGCUAAUCUCUUAAAGCCGUUCUCAGUUCGGAUUGCAGGCUGCAACUCGCCUGCAUGAAGUCGGAAUCGCUAGUAAUCGCGAAUCAGCAUGUCGCGGUGAAUACGUUCCCGGGCCUUGUACACACCGCCCGUCACACCAUGAGAGUUUGUAACACCCAAAGUCGGUGGGGUAACCUUUUGGAGCCAGCCGCCUAAGGUGGGACAGAUGAUUGGGGUGAAGUCGUAACAAGGUA
rnacentral:rRNA from 1 species